rnacentral:rRNA from 1 species
UACGUAGGGCGCAAGCGUUGUCCGGAAUCAUUGGGCGUAAAGAGCUCGUAGGUGGUCUGUUACGUCUGCUGUGAAAACCUAGGGCUUAACCCUGGGCCUGCAGUGGAUACGGGCAGACUAGAGGUAGGUAGGGGAGAAUGGAAUUCCGGGUGUAGCGGUGGAAUGCGUAGAGAUCCGGAAGAACACCGGUGGCGAAGGCGGUGAGCUGGGCAGUUGCUGGACACUGAGGCGCGACAGCGUGGGGAGCAAACAGG